rnacentral:rRNA from 1 species
CAGUCCCGCGGUAAUACAGAGGGUGCGAGCGUUAAUCGGAUUUACUGGGCGUAAAGCGUGCGUAGGCGGCUUCUUAAGUCGGAUGUGAAAUCCCUGAGCUUAACUUAGGAAUUGCAUUCGAUACUGGGAAGCUAGAGUAUGGGAGAGGAUGGUAGAAUUCCAGGUGUAGCGGUGAAAUGCGUAGAGAUCUGGAGGAAUACCGAUGGCGAAGGCAGCCAUCUGGCCUAAUACUGACGCUGAGGUACGAAAGCAUGGGGAGCAAACAGGAUUAGAUACCCGGGUAGUCCCUGUCUCUUAUACA